AAAUUUCUUAGUCUAUUUAAGAUAUUAAAAUGCAAAUUUAAAGUUAUUUUUUGUAGAAAUU
rnacentral:tRNA from 1 species